AAUAUUUUGUGUCCAAUUUCUUUCCAUUCCUGCCAUAUACCCCUUUUUUCUUGAAUUCUUCUUUCUUUUCUUCUUUAUCAUUACUCUUAGCAAGCAUAGUUGUAGAACUACCUCCUACCUUUUCUUUAAAAUUUAGUUUUUGUUUUUCCUCUUGUAUAACUAGUGAAAAAACUUGGUUCAUUGAAGGUAGUUCAGAAUAAGCUAAAAUCUGACUUCUUAUGGUCAUGAAGUCUUCAUUGAGGCCUAAUAGGAACUGGUGAGUCCUAUCUUUCUCUAACUUCCUUGUGUAAAUGGGUGCACAAGUUGUGCAAAAUUUACACUCAGGUUUUUCUAUCUCUAUGUAUUGAUCCCAUAGGGAUUUAAAUUUAUCAAAAUAUACUGAAACAGAACUGCUAGCUUGAUUUAAGGUAUUAAUUUCAUACCUUAGCUGACUUGUUUUGGGAGCAUUCUUCUGUUUAUACCUUUCUUGAAGCUCAACCCAUGUUUCAUAAGCAGUCUCUGUGUGAAUUAGGGUGGAGGCUAUUUGAGGGCUAACCCCAUUGAUGAUUCAGGAAAGCACCAGCCCGUUCACCAUCUCCCAAUCCUCAAACUCAUCUCCUGUCUCAUCUACUGGUUUAUUGAUUUUACCAUUUAUGAAGGCUGUCUUUUUUCUUGAAACUAACGACAGCUUCAUAGAAUUGGCCCAGGCGACGUAGUUGGCUUCACCAGUUAGCUUGUCUGAAACCAUUUGAGCCCCUGGAUGAUCUCCAGCUGACAGAAAUAAUGGUGAUUUUCUGGAGGCUUCUUGCUUGACACAUUUCGUUCUUUCUUUCUUAUUCACUGAUCUUCUUUUCCUUCUUCUUGUAGCUCUGAAAAAUCUGCUGUUCUCUGCAGAGGAAGUCGUUGUAUAUUGAUUUAAUGCUCUUCCUGAAGAUUCUUGAGACUCUUCUUCACUGCCAGAGUUGUUUGCAAAUGCGAAAUUCGUGUCCAGGUUAACAUUGUUCCCUACUGAUACCAUAUUAGAAGAUAACGCCGGCGAUUCUAUGACGCCGGCGAGCUGAUUGAGCUUUGAUUUCGUCAGACUUGGCCGGGCGCAGGGGAGAAGAAGGAAAGAGGGAAGAACUUAGGGUUUACUGUGUCAACUGCCACUUGAGAGCAGUUAGUACGAGAGA
rnacentral:lncRNA from 1 species